UAAAAGAUAAGCUAAAGAAAGCUGGUAGGUUCAUACCCUAACAAUAGAUUUAAAUUCUUCUUUUAU
rnacentral:tRNA from 1 species